rnacentral:lncRNA from 1 species
GGUUAAUAGUUUUAUUAGUGUAUUUCUUAUUUUGUAUGUGAAUGAAAAACUUUUAAUCGAGAAUGAUGUUCCUUGCAUUACAGAAAAUAAAGGUUUCACUAUUAUUAUUGUUCUUCAUAAAGGAUUUGAAAAAGGCAUCCCUCAUCCUAGGGAUGAAGAUCUGUAGAAAUAGAUCCAAGAGACUGCUUGGGUUAUCCCAAUUCAACAUACACAGAGUGCUUAUGAGUAGAAUUUAUUCUAUCAUGUACAUCAUGUACGAGAUAGGAUAUGAUAUACUCACUAGGGUAGUGAGUGGAUACCUGCA